rnacentral:rRNA from 1 species
AACGAACGCUGGCGGCAGGCUUAACACAUGCAAGUCGAGCGCCCCGCAAGGGGAGCGGCAGACGGGUGAGUAACGCGUGGGAAUCUACCCAUCUCUACGGAAUAACGCAGGGAAACGUGUGCUAAUACCGUAUACGUCCCUCGGGAGAACGCUUUAUCGGAGAUGGAUGAGCCCGCGUUGGAUUAGCUAGUUGGUGGGGUAAAGGCCUACCAAGGCGACGAUCCAUAGCUGGUCUGAGAGGAUGAUCAGCCAGACUGGGACUGAGACGCGGCCCAGACUCCUACGGGAGGCAGCAGUGGGGAAUAUUGGACAAUGGGCGCAAGCCUGAUCCAGCCAUGCCGCGUGAGUGAUGAAGGCCCUAGGGUUGUAAAGCUCUUUCACCGGUGAAGAUAAUGACGGUAACCGGAGAAGAAGCCCCGGCUAACUUCGUGCCAGCAGCCGCCGCCGUAA